UGGGGAAUCUUCCGCAAUGGACGAAAGCCUGACGGAGCAACGCCGCGUGAGUGAAGAAGGUUUUCGGAUCGUAAAACUCUGUCUUUUGGGGCGAACGUGAGUAUGGUGAACAAUCAUAGUCAGUGACGGUACCAAAGGAGGAAGCCACGGCUAACUACGUGCCAGCAGCCGCGGUAAUACGUAGGUGGCAAGCGUUGUCCGGAAUUAUUGGGCGUAAAGAGCGCGUAGGCGGGAUAGUCAGUCUGUUGUAAAAGUGCGGGGCUCAACCCCGUGAUGGCAAUGGAAACAGCUAUUCUUGAGUGCAGGAGAGGAAAGUGGAAUUCCCAGUGUAGCGGUGAAAUGCGUAGAUAUUGGGAGGAACACCAGUGGCGAAGGCGACUUUCUGGACUGUGUCUGACGCUGAGGCGCGAAAGCCAGGGGAGCGAACGGGAUUAGAUACCCCGGUAGUCCUGGCCGUAAACGAUGGGUACUAGGUGUGGGAGGUAUCGACCCCCUUCCGUGCCGGAGUUAACGCAAUAAGUACCCCGCCUGGGGAGUACGGUCGCAAGACUGAAACUCAAAUGAAUUGAC
rnacentral:rRNA from 1 species